rnacentral:rRNA from 1 species
GACGAACGCUGGCGGCGUGCUUAACACAUGCAAGUCGAACGGAAAGGCCCUGCUUUUGUGGGGUGCUCGAGUGGCGAACGGGUGAGUAACACGUGAGUAACCUGCCCUUGACUUUGGGAUAACUUCAGGAAACUGGGGCUAAUACCGGAUAGGAGCUCCUGCUGCAUGGUGGGGGUUGGAAAGUUUCGGCGGUUGGGGAUGGACUCGCGGCUUAUCAGCUUGUUGGUGGGGUAGUGGCUUACCAAGGCUUUGACGGGUAGCCGGCCUGAGAGGGUGACCGGCCACAUGGGGACGGAGAUACGGCCCAGACUCCUACGGGAGGCAGCAGGGGGGAAUAUUGCACAAUGGGCGGAAGCCUGAUGCAGCAACGCCGCGUGCGGGAUGACGGCCUUCGGGUUGGAAACCGCUUUCGCCUGUGACGAAGCGUGAGUGACGGUAAUGGGGAAAGAAGCACCGGCUAACUACGU